rnacentral:ncRNA from 1 species
GUCAGAGGCGCGAAGCGGAUGAGUAGGCUGUCAUAGGGCUUGGAACCCGAAAAAGGCAGUGCGAAGGGCCAAUUCGCCGAAGGUGAGGCCGGGCCAAGACGGCUUAUCCUGGGCAUAAGGUGAAAAAUCUUAUGACUGUCAUCGCGAAGGUGCGCGAUGGAGUGCUGGCUG